CAGGAUGAACGCUAGCUACAGGCUUAACACAUGCAAGUCGAGGGGCAGCAUGGUCUUAGCUUGCUAAGGCCGAUGGCGACCGGCGCACGGGUGAGUAACACGUAUCCAACCUGCCGUCUACUCUUGGACAGCCUUCUGAAAGGAAGAUUAAUACAAGAUGGCAUCAUGAGUCCGCAUGUUCACAUGAUUAAAGGUAUUCCGGUAGACGAUGGGGAUGCGUUCCAUUAGAUAGUAGGCGGGGUAACGGCCCACCUAGUCUUCGAUGGAUAGGGGUUCUGAGAGGAAGGUCCCCCACAUUGGAACUGAGACACGGUCCAAACUCCUACGGGAGGCAGCAGUGAGGAAUAUUGGUCAAUGGGCGAGAGCCUGAACCAGCCAAGUAGCGUGAAGGAUGACUGCCCUAUGGGUUGUAAACUUCUUUUAUAAAGGAAUAAAGUCGGGUAUGGAUACCCGUUUGCAUGUACUUUAUGAAUAAGGAUCGGCUAACUCCGUGCCAGCAGCCGCGGUAAUACGGAGGAUCCGAGCGUUAUCCGGAUUUAUUGGGUUUAAAGGGAGCGUAGAUGGAUGUUUAAGUCAGUUGUGAAAGUUUGCGGCUCAACCGUAAAAUUGCAGUUGAUACUGGAUAUCUUGAGUGCAGUUGAGGCAGGCGGAAUUCGUGGUGUAGCGGUGAAAUGCUUAGAUAUCACGAAGAACUCCGAUUGCGAAGGCAGCCUGCUAAGCUGCAACUGACAUUGAGGCUCGAAAGUGUGGGUAUCAACAGGAUAGAUA
rnacentral:rRNA from 2 species